rnacentral:rRNA from 1 species
UACGUAGGGUGCAAGCGUUGUCCGGAAUUAUUGAGCGUAAAGAGCUCGUAGGCGGUCUGUCGCGUCGGCUGUGAAAACUCGGGGCUCAACUCCGAGCUUGCAGUCGAUACGGGCAGGCUAGAGUUCGGCAGGGGAGACUGGAAUUCCUGGUGUAGCGGUGAAAUGCGCAGAUAUCAGGAGGAACACCGGUGGCGAAGGCGGGUCUCUGGGCCGAUACUGACGCUGAGGCGCGAAAGCUAGGGGAGCAAACAGG